ACUGAGAUAUUCGACGUCCUGACACCUAACUUCAACACAUCUCCUUUUUUCUGACUGUAUAUAGUAUCAUGUUACAGUGAUGGAGAGUUACUCUUAACUCGUAUCCAUAUGUCCUUUUCUCUUUUACAUUUAUUUAUGGCUCAACAUCCGAGUUACAAAUAUUAUUAUUAUUAUUAUUAGACACAAUCUCAUAGCAUGUGACAAGCAUAGCUAAUGCAGGGACAGAAUCCCCUGAGACAAGGGCGUUGAGCCAGCCACGGCAAUAGUAAGCUAGGAAAACAAAGCAAAUAUGAAUUAAAGCAAAAAAUGAAUGGAAAAUUACAAAGAAAAACGAUUAACGGAAGUGAGCACAAUCAAAAUUCGUGCAUCACCCAGGUAUUCGAGAAUGUUCUUCGAUAAUAAUUAUUUGCAUCUAGUUCAGUUGUGAUAGUAGAUCUUUAAACUGACCAAUAGAAGAACAAGUUUUCAGACCGUAUGGUAAUGAUACGUAGGCUGUUGGCGUGGAAAUGACAAAUGGAUCACUUACAAAUGUCAACGAUUUUUGUUUUUUUCAUUUCCACAUCCUGAAAUGUAUCUGUUGGUCUGUGUAACUACCGUCUGCAUUUCUCUCAAUUCUCUCUGCCCUGGCUUCUGUACAGAGUGCAGUCCUCGCCUUGUGCAACUGCUAUAUUUUCACAACACCCUCCCUGUCACUAACGACCAGCAGCUACAGAUAUUGGAAAGAUGUUUGGUGUGGUUGCAGAAGGAUUUGACAAGUCGGCAAUCAGGUCGAAUGUAUGACAUGCUGUCAUACUUCAUUGGCCCAAAGUACACCACUGGCAUAUCUCUUGUUGAUGGUGUGAACGUCCAUGCAUUCUGCGUAUUCAACCAAGACCAUGAACCAGUGGAGACUGGUGCGUAUCCAGCUGAUGUGUACAAUGGUGUAUCAGUAGAUAUGACUGCAGCUAGACGUCAUGGUUUCAGUGUUGUGGCAUGUCUGGGUGUGAGUGACACUCAGUUACUACGUCAUCCUGUACGUACACCUAACGGAUAUAACACUCUUGAGGCAUCGGCGCUGAAAUCUCAAGGAUGUUAUAUUAUUCCGAUGGUACUCAAAUAUGGCGCUCGGGACUCGCAGAAAAGCAGCCACACUAUCCCGGAUUUGCUGAUCAAUUAUCCGUAUCACAUCACCGUGUUCAAAGACCUGUUACCCGCCAAGCAGUGAUGGACAUACACACUGAUGUCAUAGUUUACAUGAUGAUAUCUCUGAACAGCAGGAUACUAUGCCGAGUUGUGCCGUGAGGAAGUGUGUGAUAUCAUGUGAGACUGGAAUAUGAGGUCCGUUUUGUGAUUACUAAGAAAUUUCUCGACAUCUCUUUUUUCUUGUGAUUGAAGUUUUCAUUUCUCCGAAUCCUCGCCACUUUUUCUGCUGAGCUGAACAAUGAGGAAGCUGCCUCUUCUUUAAUUCCACUCCCGGCUGAGUAACUGAAUAACUGAGUACAUCGGAUGUGAGAGGGUAGUGCUGCUAGUGCUAGUGCAGUAUGCAUGUUAAUUGUGUUUUUGAAAUCAAGGCAUUGUUGAGUGUGUGCGCGAGUGUUUGUGUCUCAGUGAGUUUUAUUCUCAAUUAUUUGUUCUCAGUUUGUGCAUGCAUAUACAGUACGUUGAUAUUGUAAAUCCUCCGCAUGUGUGUUUUCAGCUUCCAUUGUACACGUAGUACAUGUAGCAUCUGGAGUAGCCAGGAUCCUGAUUUUUGACUGAGCUACAUGUUUAAAA